rnacentral:rRNA from 1 species
AACCCUUGUGUUUAGUUGCCACCACCGGUGAUGAAUCGGUGAGCACUCUAAACAGACUGCCCAUAUCAAGUGGGAGGAAGGUGAGGAUGACGUCAAGUCAGUAUGGCCUUUAUGUCCUGGGCUGCACACGUGCUACAAUGGCCGGUACAGAGGGAAGCAAGACCGCGAGGUGGAGCUAAUCCUAAAAAACCGGUCCCAGUUCGGAUUGAAGUCUGCAACUCGACUUCAUGAAGUUGGAUUCGCUAGUAAUGGCGCAUCAGCUACGGCGCCGUGAAUACGUUCCCGGGCCUUGUACACACCGCCCGUCACAUCAUGAAAGUUGUCUGCACCAGAAGUUGCUGAUCUAACCCGCAAGGGAGGAAGGCACCAAAGGUGUGGGGAGCAAUUGGGAUGAAGUCGUAACAAGGUAGCCGUAGGGGAACCUGCGGCUGGAUCACCUCCUUU